GGGUUGUGAGGUUAAGCGACUAAGCGUACACGGUGGAUGCCCUGGCAGUCAGAGGCGAUGAAGGACGUGCUAAUCUGCGAUAAGCGUCGGUAAGGUGAUAUGAACCGUUAUAACCGGCGAUUUCCGAAUGGGGAAACCCAGUGUGAUUCGUCACACUAUCAUUAACUGAAUCCAUAGGUUAAUGAGGCGAACCGGGGGAACUGAAACAUCUAAGUACCCCGAGGAAAAGAAAUCAACCGAGAUUCCCCCAGUAGCGGCGAGCGAACGGGGAGCAGCCCAGAGCCUGAAUCAGUGUGUGUGUUAGUGGAAGCGUCUGGAAAGGCGCGCGAUACAGGGUGACAGCCCCGUACACAAAAAUGCACAUAUUGUGAGCUCGAUGAGUAGGGCGGGACACGUGGUAUCCUGUCUGAAUAUGGGGGGCCCAUCCUCCAAGGCUAAAUA
rnacentral:rRNA from 1 species